rnacentral:rRNA from 1 species
GUACACUCCUGCGGGAGGCAGCAGUGGGGAAUAUUGCACAAUGGGCGCAAGCCUGAUGCAGCCAUGCCGCGUGUAUGAAGAAGGCCUUCGGGUUGUAAAGUACUUUCAGCGGGGAGGAAGGCGAUAAGGUUAAUAACCUUGUUGAUUGACGUUACCCGCAGAAGAAGCACCGGCUAACUCCGUGCCAGCAGCCGCGGUAAUACGGAGGGUGCAAGCGUUAAUCGGAAUUACUGGGCGUAAAGCGCACGCAGGCGGUCUGUCAGGUCGGAUGUGAAAUCCCCGGGCUCAACCUGGGAACUGCAUUCGAAACUGGCAGGCUAGAGUCUUGUAGAGGGGGGUAGAAUUCCAGGUGUAGCGGUGAAAUGCGUAGAGAUCUGGAGGAAUACCGGUGGCGAAGGCGGCCCCCUGGACAAAGACUGACGCUCAGGUGCGAAAGCGUGGGGAGCAAACAGGAUUAGAUACCCUUGUAGUCCCAUGA